rnacentral:lncRNA from 1 species
GCGCACCGCUGCGGCCUCCUCGCCGCUGUCGGUCAGAUAGGACAGGUGAAGUGGCGGAUGGGCUCAUCUGCGAAGAUUGGUCAGCACUGGUCAGCAGAAGGCUUCAGGGUGUCAUCUCAGUCCUCCUGGUGAGGCUCUUGGUCAAGGGAGACGCCAAAAGGAGGUUGGUGACGGGGGACGGCAGCGACCGGCGGCGGCGCUCGUCGUGAGUUUGCCAGAGGGCUCGAAUCCUAAAAUAGACAGAGGGGAAAGUAGAGUUAGGUGUUGGUGAUGCUUUAUCUCAAAGGAAUUGAAAAGACAAAGAAGGAGUUCGUCAGCAUCGAUGGUGCGGCCGAGGUGGCGCACCUCCCCGGAGACGGGGAAGAACAACUCGCUUGGCGAUUUUGUGGAUUAGCAGCAGAUUUUGUGGAUUACCAGUGUUGCAGCGGGCUCAGCCAUGUGAGGGGAUGGCUUUAAUAGGCCACCGACGGCAAAGUCUAUGGCGAGCUGCAGGGCGCAAACUCGGUGAGAGUUCUGGAGAUGCAGCAGAGAAGAGUUUCAGGAUAUCUCCAGGCACGGGGAAUGGAAGAACGGCCGAGGGGCAGUCGCCAUGAACAGCGGAGAGGCAGCGGCACAACUCGCCGGAGAUGAAAAGAAAGACGCGCGGCUUCGAAUUUGGCCGGGUGAGAU